UUCCGCCCCGCCCUUUCUCCCUUCCCUACACUCCGCGUUCCUAGCCGCCCUGACACGCCCCUGGGCUGCUGCCCUGCGCACUCUCCAGUCCCCGGGCCCCCACCCCCUACCCGCUGAUGAGAGACACCGGGCUCCGGGCCUGCGCCUCGCUCGCACCUCUGCUGUCACAGCCUGGCCGCCUCCAAGCUCAUGUCAUCCCCUUUCCACGGGCCCCUGGCCCGCCUGGACCAGCUCCACCCAGGGGUCAAAAGUGCAGUCCCAGGCCCAGGACAGGAGCCUGGCCCUGAUCCCAGCACGCACCCCCUUCCCCCAAACCAGUCUUUCCUCUGGAAAGAUAAAGCUCUCUCCCCAGACCCCCUGUGUCCUCUCCCCCCCAACCCCCUUUCCUUUUAAUUUCAGACUUUUAUGCAGGGAGGGGGGAGGGGCAGGGGUGGGUUUUUGCACAAAUAUUUAAUCUUUCCCCACCUGCCCUUUUGCACUGCCUGUUGGUCCCCCGAGGUGGAGACCGCUGUGUUUGCUUUAGCGGGUAACAGGAUCCUGCUCAGAGAAGCCCAGCAGCAGGCAGAUGGUUUGACUGCACACUGUUGCUCUGCCAGGCAGCUCGGCAGGGCGACUGAGAUGUUCGCUUUCUGCUGGAGAGAAGCGCAGCCCGGCUCAGGCCCGUUGCCCUGUGUGCAGGACGCCAGCAGAUGUAGAAAUGGAGCCAGAAGCACCCCCCUGUGAAGACAGGUUAUCCUGAGAGGCACAGUCUCACCGGCAGAGCCAACGGAAGAACAAGGAAACAGAAAAACGUCACCGCUCCCUAUGCCAGGGGUCUUCAAAAGGUCCAUGGGACUUGCAUGUUAGGAACAAAUCAUGCACGAAUUUUGAUCAAUUUUCACCAAAAAAAGUCCUAAAGAAAAAGAUUUAAUUUGCUUAUUUGAAAAGCGGAGAGAGUGAGCACACGCACACAAGAGUGAGCUUCCACCUGCUGGUUCACUCUGCAGACGGUUGCAAUGGCCAGGGGUGGGCCAGGCUGAAGCCAGAGCCAGGAACUUCAUCCGGGUCUCCCACGUGGGCACCAGGAGCUUCAUCCGGGUCUCCCACGUGGGUACCAGGAGCUUCAUCCGGGUCUCCCACGUGGGUACCAGGAGCUUCAACCGGGUCUCCCACGUGGGUACCAGGAGCUUCAUCCGGAUCUCCCACGUGGAUACCAGGAGCUUCAUCCGGGUCUCCCACAUGGGUAGCAGGGAGUCUUCUGCUGCUUUCCCAGGCACAUUAGCAGGGAGCAGGAGUGGCGUGUUUGCUUGGGGCCGUGGUGGCCCACACCUUGUGGAAGGAAGCCUUCUCUGUCUCCCUGUCUCACCAGGGGCAUGCAGGGGGCUUCCGCACUUGGUUCCUCUUCUCUUUCUGCUGUCGAGGGUGGGGGUGGGCAGACACAGGUGCACCUGCUGAGGCUGUGGGUAGCACAGGUGCCCAGGGUCUCUCUCUCCCGUUGCCCUGCGCUGGGGGAACUGGGCGAGGAAGGGGAGGAACAGAGAGAAGCCACUUGCCCAUGGGAGCCCCCACAGUGAUGCAGGUGCCACCUCGGCUUCCUACGGAUCCAGGUCCUAAGCUGUCGCUAGCGAGCCAGCCUUGUGACUUUGCAUCCAUGAGAACAGGGCCUGGAACCCCUGCAGGCACCAUGCAGGCACCGUGCAGUGGCUGCUGUGCCUAUCUCAAGCCACGUGUGCUCUUCCUGCCUAGGAAGCACCAAGUGCAAGGGCAGUAGCCUGUGGGGUCCUUUUGGUAGCCAUUGGAAGACAUGCUUUUCCCAUUUUCAACUUUAUAAAUAAGGGCCCUGUUUAGCCUAGGGAUUAAGAGGUCCACUUCCCACUUCGGGGAGAAACUGGCUUCAAUUCCUGGCUUCAAGUCCUGGCUCCAGCUUCUUGCUCAUGGAGACUCCAGAAGGCAGCGGUGAUGACGGAAGUCCUCGGGUCCCUGCCACCCACAGCGGAAACUUGGGUGGGGAUCCUAGCUCCUGGAUGUUGACAGGGUCCAGUCCUGGCUGAUGUGGGCAUUCAGAGCCAAUGGGAGCUGCAUCUGUCUGUCAGCCUCUCAAAUAAAUACACAUAAAUGGGUCA
ensembl:lncRNA